AGGCCCCCGAAACCUUCCCCUGGUCCCCACGCCCGCGCGAGCGCUACCUCUCUCGCCGCCUGCGCCGCCGCCUUCUCCCCCCAAGCUUCGGCUCCAGCAAGAUAGCCCGGCCGAUUCUCGCAGCCCCCCAAAAGCCGGCACGCCGACGGCCUUCGUCCUCUAGCGCCGGCGCGUCGCCGCGAUCCCCGCCGGCACGGGCGCCUAUUCCCCCCUUGCUCCUGCUCCCCGCUCGCGCCGCCGUUGCCGCGCGCCUCCAUGAACUUCUCCGACGACUGGCGCUUCCUCUUCCCCGUCUCCUCCGUGUUCAACCCGCCGUCCCUCGCCCCGCCGGACGCCUCCCACGGGCCCCUCUUCUUCACCCCUCUCCCCCCCCCCCCCCCCCCCCCCCCCCCCCCCCUCCCCCUCCCCCCCCCCCUGCACCCCUCCACCACCGGCGACCUCCGCCACGCCCUCCGCUGCUUCAUCGCCUCCACCUCCUUCCUCCCCUACUCCGAUCUCAAGUCCCUCUCGGGACCCCUCCUCGCCGCGCCGUCGCCGCCGUUCCCACCACCUUCCAAUCUUCUCGCCGUCCUCCCCUCCCGCUCCUCAAGCUCUCUCGUCCUCUUUUUCCCGUACGGCGAGAAUGCGGAGAAGAUUGCUUUCGCUCUUGUGAACUCCCCCGUUGCGAGCUCUGCGCCCGUUUCGCCCUUCGUUCAGAGGGAUGGGUUCAAGCACCCUGGGCACCGCAUACAGCAGCUUGCUGCUAUUCCUGCCCAGUCGUCCUGGUCAUCGGAGCCGGAUGACAGCUGUGUCGAGGGUUUCCUGCUUGCUGCGACAUUGUACUCAGUGAGUUGGUUCAGGGUCGAGUCACGCGAUUCGGGUUCCCCGGUGCUUGUACCGGUGGCCAAGCAGGGGUUUGAUGCUGCUGUCGUGCACGCGUGCUGGAGCAGGCAUUUUCCGUCACAAUGUGCGGUGCUGCUGGAGAGUGGGGAGUUGUGUUGGUUUGAUCUGAAUACACAACUUGGAGGAAAGACGAGCGUUGGUUUUGGCAGCAAUGGUGAAGACUGGGGGGACUGGCUGAGCUGUGCGUAUGGAGCGCAACCGUGGAUGGUGAUCGUCGCAAGCACAAAAGCCGUCCUUUUGGUUGAUUUGAGCUUUGUAUAUCAUGGUGACAAAUACGCCGUGGAAAACGAGCCACACAAGUUUCAGUACAAGGUUCUAGCAAAAAUUGGGUUGCCAGGGUUGUUUGAAACUGAGCCUUUUGACAGGACUGAGCAUUAUAUUGCAUUCUGCAAGGCUGGGUUCGAUGAUUCCCAUAUAUCAGUAGUGACAGAGCGUCACUUGAUUCUCCUUGAUGUGACAAAGCCGUUGGAACCUGUGUUGGCUUGGCAGCAUGGGCUUGAGAACCCAAAUCAUGUUGCCAUGUUUCGGCUAUCUGAAUUGAGACCUUCCAAGGAAUAUGAAUGGGCUUCAAAUUCAGGUUUUGCCAUUUUGGUUGGUUCGUUCUGGAAUGGGGAGUUCAGUUUGUUCUGUUACGGGCCUAAGGAGCAAGGUUGUCUAGAUAAUUCUCAUUUAUACGCUUGGGAUAUUCCUUCGAGGCUUUCUCUGACAGGUCAGCAUUGUGGCUGCAGCAAUGGAAUCAUGAAAGAGAUAUUCUCAACGCCUGUUUCAGUAUAUGAUGGGUAUGCUUCCCAACACCGCGCUAAGUCCAUUGUUGGUUACUAUGUGCUUCCAGAUGACCUCUCAAUAUCGGAGCCAACAUCUGCCAGCUUUGCCUUGAUCCGGCUAACAGCAUUGGGGAAGUUGGAAAUGCAACAGUAUCGUGCAUCUCGAGGUCUGCAUGAUGAAAUUGACACCCCAUGUGAUGAAUCAGAACAUGCAUCCAUGGAUAGUAGUUCAUCCAUUUUGAUUGACACUCAAGGUGAAAAUGUCUCCACCAAAUAUCGAUUCUUGAAGUUGCAUUUCCUAUAUGAACAUCUGAAGGGCAAUCUAUGCAGUGCGUUGGCGAAGCAUGGUACUAGUGUUAACGGAGACAGAGAUCAAAUUAUUAUUAGUGAAGAUGUGUUGGCAUUUGCAGAGGAUAACUCUAGAUCCAGCUCGCUGCCAGUUUCAGAUUUCCUAUGUAAUGCUAGCAUCCCCAUGAAUGUUUUCGAAAUUGCAUGUCAGAGCAUAUUGAACAGUCUACCUUCAAAUAUUCUUCAUGUCUCCCUUUCUAAAUACAAGGACAUGCUAAAAUGCGAUACAAAAGAAGGCUUAGUAGAAUAUUUAAAAGUUCCUAGCUGUUCGCCACACAAUGAACUUCGGCCUUUCCUGUUAGCGAAACCAUCAAGCACAUGUGAGAAGGUGACUAGCAAAGCGGUAUCUCAAAAUGCUCUUGUUGGGCCAGUGCUCCCUGUGCAUGUCCUACUUGCAAUGGAAGAGAUGAACAGGGGCAUAGACAGCUCUUCGGAAAGAGAAACUGCAGAAACUGACUUAGUACGCCAUCGAUGUAGUGAGGUGCUUGAAGCCUUUGUUCCUGAAGUAUCCAUUGCUGAGUCCGACAACUUUGAUGGAUGGUUCUCCUCACAAAAGUUGAAUGACAAGAAGUCAUAUCUUGUUUAUGAGCCUCGGAUUGAAAAUAAGUUUACUCUUGAUGAAACUGUUAUAAAGAAGGAAAACGAAGAGCAAAAGGCCGCUGAUCGUACAUCUUUUGAAACGUCUGCAGCACCAUACAAGGAUGAGAACUUCAUGACAUUUGUCUGUGGAAAAGCUGGAACUCUUGAUUCUGGGCCUGAACAAACCACAUCUGAUUUGUUUGAUUUCACCCCAGUGAGGAUGGAUUUUGCUUCCGCAGAUCUAGACAUUCAACCUGCCGAGGAAGAAGUGUACAGAUGCUUGAAGAAACAAUUUUUAAGAUGGCAAAAUAAUUUCAAGCCAUACCAAGAUUUUUGUAACUCAUAUAAAAUACAAAAGCCAUCAUGAUGGCCUGCAGUGCUCCAUUCAGUUGUAGCAGGUACUUGGCCUGGUAUAGACAUACAGUGCUGUUUGCGUAUUGCAAACACUUCUUGGGAGUAAGAUGUGGUGGGCGGCGCUGUAAAUUAUGAAGGCGUAGGGUUCGAAUAACUUGGUUUAAAAUAGUAUACUAUUUUGUUAAACUUUCUGCCAUGUUAUUUUUGACAAUGUGCAUGUUAAGAUACAAUUUUGUAACUGACAAGGAUUGCAAUAGACCUCCUUUUCAAUUACAGUUUUUAACUUCACUUUGACUGUUAGCACAACUCAUGUGACCCUGAGAAAAUUUGCAGCCAUCACUUUGUUCCUUUGGAGUUUGAACACAUGCUUAUAUUCAGAUACUGUGUAGCAUUAACCAGGGCCGUAGUUAACCUGUUCUAUUUUCAGUGCUCAAACAUUUUCUUUUGUUUUUUACAGCACCUAUUAUAUUGACAGGAUUUGCCACCUGGAGGUGCAUUUAACGGGAAUUUCACGCACUUGAUGUUAAGCAUUGGUGCGCCAUUUAUAGACCGUGGUAGCAAGGCAGCAAGAGUCCAAGCCAUAUUGGGGCAUUACAUAGGCGACAAGGAGGGAGUGUGAUUGCAUCAAAAGUUCAACAUUUUGCUGAGUGACAACUACGAGCAUUAGCGCGGGCGUUCUUUUCUUUUCUUCUUCUUUGUUGAGAGAAAUCGUGUGGCAGUUGUAACCUAACCAGAUACGUGCACUCAUAAAAAAAAACUGUCUCACACGAGUUUUUCUUCAUUUCAGUUGAGCCAAAACCUGCCAUUUGGGCAAAGUUUUUCGGCUGAAAUCUUAGUUUGCUAUGGGCUGCAACGAUAGUGGCGUGUUUGCCUGUUGAACUGUGCAGUGAAGUGUACAUAUUUUCUCUUGAGCAGGGACCAUUGUAUGUCAUGAUUCUGAAGCUUCAUGCUGAUGGAUGAAAGCAAAUCCAGUCACACGAUGGCCUCGUGAUUAAUGGUA